rnacentral:misc_RNA from 1 species
AGAGAAACACCAUGGGUUGACACUCUUGGCUAGCUAAGUUUAUUGAUGUGAUGUGUGUCUGUAUUUUGUGUGUUAGCGUGUACAUAUAUGAAUUUACAUUUUCCAGUGUGCCGAGAGAGAAUGAUAAGUACAUGUAUGUUACGUAAAGUGAUCGUUAUGUUUAAAGUGAAUACAAUGUAUAAGUGUUGUUUGAUACGAGGAAAUCUGCAGUAUAACAAUGGACACUGUUUUAUAAUAUUGAAAUAAAGAUGAAAAAU